CGCAUCGAGUCNACGANUGCCUUACGGUUGUAAACCUCUUUUACCANGGCAUGAUAANCUACANUACCUGGAGAAUAAGCUCCGGCUAACUCCGUGCCAGCAGCCGCGGUAAUACGGAGGGAGCUAGCGUUGUUCGGAAUUACUGGGCGUAAAGCGCGCGUAGGCGGCUUUUCAAGUCAGGGGUGAAAUCCCGGGGCUCAACCCCGGAACUGCCCUUGAAACUGGAUGGCUAGAAUACUGGAGAGGUGAGUGGAAUUCCGAGUGUAGAGGUGAAAUUCGUAAAUAUUCGGAAGAACACCAGUGGCGAAGGCGACUCACUGGGACAGUUAUUGACGCUGANGUGCGAAAAGCGUGGGGAAGCAAACAGGGAUUAGAUACCCUGGUAGUCCACGCCGUAAACGAUGAUAACUAGCUGCUUGGGCUCAUGGAGCUUGGGUGGCGCAGCUAACGCAUUAAGUUAUCCGCCUGGGGAGUACGGUCGCAAGAUUAAAACUCAAAGGAAUUGGGAAC
rnacentral:rRNA from 1 species